AAGAGGUAGGCCGCUGUUAUUCAUAUAGCUUUAUUUUCACAAGAUUGUUAGAUUAAAAUAACUCUUUUAGGGGGAAAACUUUCAAUGUUUCAAUACAUGCAUGCCUCAAAGAGUAAACAAUUAAAAACCUGCUCUUGUCAUAUGAAAUGACUUUUUUUUUUGGGUCUAUUUGUCCCUCUUUUUACCUGCUUUAGAAGGUUCAUUUGUUUUAGGGCUAAUAUAGGAAGCACAAACUAAAACAAAAAAUAACAAUCAAAUUGAGGAAAUGUGAAUGGUGAUGGCAUCACAAAUAGGACAAUUACCACGACGUUUACCAGCAAUCCACUCUGUCAUGCCUGGAUAAUCACCUUCGAGAUUACCUGGUUCUACCUGAACGAAGCAAUUAAAUUGCAUUUUCAUAUUCAAAUUGCUCUCUUUGAUGUUGAAAGUUGAAAUCUUUUAAGGUUAACAAAGAUCAAAGAGACGGUGAUUUAAGUAACAGCAAUCUGAAUAGAUACAGCUUAAAUUUUUUAGUAGCCUAAGCAAUACAAUCCAGAGCUAUACACAUCUGAUUCUUUAGUUAAUUCUCUUGUAAGUAUCUGGCUGUACAUAAAAUACCAAUUUCAGAGAUGGUGAUACAAAAUUCUAUCCCUUUCAGUUACAUAAAAAAUGUAUCAGAAAAAUUUUGGAUAUGCAAUGGUGGAUUUGGGGUUGAGAGAGAAGUUGGGGCAUUUAUGUUAUUUGUGGUCAAUACUUCUGGAGAACCUUAUGCUAGGUAACAAAAAGAAUUCUCAAAACAAAAGGUAAACUGGCUUGCUUUUGUUAGUCCCAAGAUUUUUUAUCCUACAGUUGAUAAUCAAAGAUUCUAAUCCAAUGGGUUUUAAUAUAAAGUUUUAACUGUUUAUUCUUUAUAGCACAUCCAUGUUUUGAAACAUUGAAGUCAAUCCCCUUUUAUAGUCCUUCUAUCUUAAAAUAAUCAAUUUCAUGUGCUAUUUCGCACUUCAUCAUAUUGGUUUGAUAAAUUGUACAUAUCUGAGGUACUUAUAAUACAUUCUGCCUAUUUUAUGGUUGGCUCUUUGAAAAUUGGAGCUGGGGUCUGUGACAUGGUGCUGGAUGGUUGCUUGGUUGACUUGCCUGGUUUUUAUUUCUGGCUUGGGUAUGUCUUGGCAAUCGGAGCUUUAUAUAGAAGCAGCAGGAUGAACGAAGUAGUAGUCCUGUACAGCUCUCCAAGGUAUAUAUAUUCUGUUAAUAAGUUUCUGCUCGCUUUUACCUUUCAAUGACCUUUACUGUUUGACUUCUCACAGUUCUUAGGGCGCGAAAAGGAUGAUGGUGUUCGCCGUAGUGCAGUUUCUGGAAAAAAGGUGAGGAUAUUCUUUUUCGGCCCUAUAUUAUUUGUUGAAUUUCCUUUGACAGAUGUUAUAGGUACUUGUGAGCAGCAGUUCUUCAGUCUGAAAUUUUUUGAACUUGUAGAUCUUACUGAAACUGGAGAAGUCAAAGGAGGAUAAGGAGGCAGAAAAUAAGAGAAAUGAAUUGCUAAAAUUCUUGAAUGCCAGUUUUGAUUGAUCAUUUGAUUUAUGGCUGCUGUGAGACAACAGAUGAAUUAACUUUUUAUGUGAAAGGUUGAAAUUUUUGUCGCUAGACAACAGGAGCAAAGUUGUCCAGCAGCAGAUUCCUAUUACGAGGGUUUCUCUAAUGGAAACAUUAUUAAAUUGGAGUCCUAAGCAGAACGUUUACCAUGAGAAUUAGAAAACUUUUGGACAUUGGUUGGUUUGGGUUGUAUCAAGUUGGUGCCUGUGUAAACAUUUCAUUUGAUAAAAUUCAUGGCUUAUAUUAUAUAAAUUGCUAUGGUCAUGCAACGUAAGCUUGAAAACUUCAAUUUUUAUGAUUAGCAAGUGAUGGCAUCCACUGGAACUAAAAAGCAGGAACACCAUUUUUAUUUUAUGCCCUGCAGUGAGUAGUUGUAAAUUAAUUUGUGUUUUUUACACUCUUAACUCAGAAUGCAAGUUUAAGCCAACUCUGAAUGCGAGUUCAAAAUUUUACAAUCUUCUCUGCUUUCCUGUUUGGUGGUGUUUCAAUAUUUACAAUAAUGCAUCAGUAAUUUUUUUUUUUUUUUUUCCAAUAUAUUUAAAAAUAAUAAUAUGGUAUGGGAAAAUUGAUUAAAUUUAAUAGUCAUCAGCGAUAAUGUACUUGGAUAUUGAGGUUGAUUAGAUAUCAUUUUGAUUUGUUUUAUGAAUCAUAACUAUAUAAUGAAAAAUAAAAAUAUCAGCGCCGGUACGGAUUUAUUUCCAUUUAUUACUUAUUGUAAAUCACAUCUUACAAUAAUGCAUCAAUAAUUUUGUUUUUGCAAGAGAUAUAAAAAAUGUAGUAUAAUAGCAUUAAACUGUUGAAAUUUUGUGUUAAUUGCAGUCAUCGGAGAUGAUGUACCUGGAUAUUCCGUCAACGCAUCCUCACAAUGUACUGCAUUAGAUACAUCACCAGUAACCCAUGCAAUUAAAUCGUAGUAAGCUUUAUCUUCAAUGGCUUUCCUUGACUCAUUCAAGUGAUAAACCGAGUUGUCAUAAAGCUCUUCACAGUAUUUCAAGGCGAGUUUAGUAUGUGGAUUUGUUGCCUUGUUUUGCAAUUCAGGAAUCGAUGUGAGUACACCAUUUCCAUAUGAUAAUGUAAUUUCGAGUGCUUCUUCUGUCAAACUUAGCAGAUUGACAGCUUUCGACGAUCCUAAAAUUGAUAUACAUAAAUCUUUAAAUGGAGUUUUCUCACAUGAUUGGGUUAUGAAUUGUGAGGCUUGAUGACUUAUGGAAAUCAUACAAAAAAAUAGGACGAAGAAAAACAUUUUUGAAGACAUGAUNNNNNNNNNNNNNNNNNNNNNNNNNNNNNNNNNNNNNNNNNNNNNNNNNNNNNNNNNNNNNNNNNNNNNNNNNNNNNNNNNNNNNNNNNNNNNNNNNNNNNNNNNNNNNNNNNNNNNNNNNNNNNCGUUACUAUUAAAAUUGAAAUCAUAUAUUACCAUAAAAGUGUAUAACGUUAAUUAAAAUUUACCAUAAACAGGAAAACAUUAAAUAAGUUACCAUUAAAAUUGAAAUUAGGUUUAGAUAUUAUACGUAUUUUUAGGUAUUUUCUAUUUUUGGGUAGAAAUAAAAAGAAAAUAAAUGGACACAGUAUAAAAGAUAUGUGUCAAGGUUUGAACUAACAAAAUUACCGAGUACUUUUUUGCUUAAAUAUCUAAAUUUUUAUUUAAACAUUAAAUAAGUUGCUAUUUUUAGAAAUGAAUUAUUGGAGAUGCAAAAGAGUUACUACGACAUCUAUUUUAAAGAGGAUAUUUUAAAUUAUUGCUGUAAUUAUUUGUAUGAUAAAAUAUAUGCAGUUUCAAUUAGUAAUGGGAAACUACUUGCUUAAAAUUAAUAAAUAUUUCAACUACGACUUGUGGCUCAGUUGGCAAUGCAGGUUAGACAUAUAGGAAGAGUUUUUAUGUUUGAUCCCCAUUAAAAACGUCUAUAGGGAAGGGCCGAAAACCUUAAUUAUCAAAAAAUAAGCGUAUUUUAUUACCAAUCUCUCGCUCAAAAAUAUUUUGGAUUGAAUUGUUUGAUGAAUUAUUUAUCUUCUUCAAAUCCUUAUCAAAUUCCCAAUUGUUUAAACUAAAAACGUUUUUUUUUUUUUUUUUUUUUUUUGACAUUGAAAUAUUGUUCAUAUAUUAUUAAGAGAAGAAACGAGCAAUACAAGCGGGAAUAAUAUCCCAAGUUCGAAAACAAGCCCACUAGGAACUGAUUUAGCCAAAACAUGAGCUAUAUCAUUUGCUUGUCUUCUAAUCCAAGCCAACGUGACAUUAGGCAUUUGGACUAAGAGGAACUUACAUUCAGAGAUAACAACUCCAAACUCAGAUAAGUCUUGGACAGAACUCCUCAUAGCAUAGUAAACUUGCAAGCAAUCAGUUUCAAUCUGAAACGGCAAACUAGAGUAGUCCGACAGCAACCAGGACAAAACAUGUCUUAGCGCUUGAGCUUCUGAGAAGAACAACCCUGUAAUGAUGAUGCUGCUGCUGAUACAAAUCUGCCAUGACAGUUUGAAAUUACGGCACCAAAAGCUCCAUGGCCAACAGAGGGGAGGAUUGCUGCAUCAAAAUUUAUUUUAAAGGUGCCAGCAGGUGGCGGGAGCCAUUGAUUACCUGCAAAAACACCUAUAGAAAAAUUCCAAUAUUGAGUUGAACACCAAAAAACUGCCAACAAAAGCUUGCUCUUGGACACUCAACAAGGGCAUGGGCUAAUGUUUCAGCAGCACCACAGUAAUCACAUCCUAUAUCAAGCUCCAAUCCCCUUCUCUCCAGAGUUGCUUUAACUGGCAGAAUGUCUCUACAACACCUCCAGAGGAAAUGCCUCACUUUCAUCGGAACUUUCAGUGACCAAAGAGCUUUCCAAAAACCUGACCUCCAAACCUCUUCAGGUUGCACAUAAUGAGAUGCUAUUAACCUGUAUCCGGAUUUCACGGAAUAUAUCCCCGAGUCUGUCCAAUGCCAUAUACGGAUGUCGUCCUGAACGGUUGUAGCUAAAGGAAUAGAGGUAAUGGCUUCAGCAAUUGAAGGGUUGAAAAGACCAUUUAUCAGUGGCAAAUUCCAAGCACGAUCCCCUUGUGCCAAGAUAAGAUCUGAAACCCUUAUAUGUUCAAAACCAGGAAGGAUAGGCAAGUUAACCCGAAACUGAUUAUCCCUCAGUAGCCACGGUUCAGUCCAGACAUUAACUGAUUGGCCAUCUCCAAUGUAGAGUGGUAUUUUUUUUAAAAUACAAAAUGAAUUUGUGCAUUUAAAUUGAAUGUAAAAUUGGGUUAUGUAACACUUGUGUAACGCAACAACCUUCUUUUUGUUGCCUUUUAAAAUAUUUCAGAACGGGACUAAUUGUAGUUCAUAAAUUCAGAACAAGGGAACAAAAAAAGCCCAACAAAGCACAACAACCCAGGCCCAAAAAAUAAAGCCCAUCCAAACUAUCCGAUACUGACCUGUGAUAAGUCCCGCAGCAAACGACGCCGUAAACACCACCACCGCUUGUCAGAUUCCUCUGAUUCUUACUCCUCCAGGUUCCUCCUAGCAAACUCAAAAUCUCUGAGCUUUCUCUCUAGCAUGUUUUAUUUACCGUUGCAAUGUUUUAUCAAUUAAAUGCAUGUAAAUUAUGGAUUUGGAGAUUUUAGUUAGAUGGAAAAUCCUAGUUAAUUUGAUUCCACUUUACUCUGAUUUAUUUUAUUUUAUUUUUCCAUACUUACAAUUUAUAUACAAUCCUAUGUGUUAAAGGAAUGGUUAUCUGCCUCCCAUAGACUUCGCACUGAAAAUUUUUCUAUUAAUAAUACAAUCUUAUUAGCGGGACUGCAUAUGUGGGUAUCAAUCUUUGAUCUAAAGAUGCUAUUGGAGGAAAAAUGGAGCUUCCUAUGGCCUGGAUUUUCUAAAAAUUACAGGCUUAAUUGAAUAUCCUUUAGUUUUUGCUAGAAUUUGGUUUUACAUGGAAUCUGGCAUAGAGGCUUAUAUUAUAUAGCAGACAGUGUCAUUAAUAUGCGGAAAUUGUUAUUAUGCAUAAAUACGUAUGAGGCUUACAUCUCUUGUAUGCGUUACAGUUCAUCGGACAGUGAGCAUCAAACAUCUAAUCCUUCAAAGAGGCACAAGAAAAAUGACAGAACAAAGAAGGUAGUUAUUCAAUACUAGUUCUCUAACUUCUCAUGCUCGCAUUCCCUACUUGUUUAUUACUAGUAGUUGCUUAUCAUGUAUAAUUUGUUCUCUAGAGCAAGGAAAAGGGACGAAGCAAGAGUCAUCACCAUAAACGCCAGAAGCACAAAGUUAAAGAGGUAGGCCGCUGUUAUUCAUAUAGCUUUAUUUUCACAAGAUUGUUAGAUUAAAAUAACUCUUUUAGGGGGAAAACUUUCAAUGUUUCAAUACAUGCAUGCCUCAAAGAGUAAACAAUUAAAAACCUGCUCUUGUCAUAUGAAAUGACUUUUUUUUUUGGGUCUAUUUGUCCCUCUUUUUACCUGCUUUAGAAGGUUCAUUUGUUUUAGGGCUAAUAUAGGAAGCACAAACUAAAACAAAAAAAUAACAAUCAAAUUGAGGAAAUGUGAAUGGUGAUGGCAUCACAAAUAGGACAAUUACCACGACGUUUACCAGCAAUCCACUCUAUCAUGCCUAGAUAAUCACCUUCGAGAUUACCCGGUUCUAC
rnacentral:lncRNA from 1 species